CCACUAAUCACUGUGCAAUCUCUCACUGUCACUGUGUAAUCUAAUAGUGUAUAACUAUGCAACAAAACCAGCAGUAAUUCAAUAGCUCAUUGAUCUCUCCGAAUAUCUGAAUUGCCUUUCACCUUCUAAAAAAUGAGUCCUUCUGUUGCUCAAGGCUUUACCAAGUCGUUGGCAAUGACAGUGCUAUCAGAAAUUGGUGACAAGACCUUUGUUGCAGCUGCUAUAUUGGCAAUGCGUUAUCCGAGAAGGCAUGUGCUGUCAGGUUGCCUCGGAGCUUUGAUAGUCAUGACAAUACUUUCAGCUGUUGUAGGCUGGGCUGCUCCUAAUCUGCUUUCGCGCAAGUGGACUCGUCACAUCACAACAAUACUGUUUCUCGGUUUUGGCCAGUGGUCGCCGCGGGAUGCAUUUAAGGAUGGGUGGUGAAUCUGUUGUCCUUUUUAUGAUCCCUUUAGUUCCUUAUGUUUGACAUAAAACACUUCUUUUGGCUAAUUCUUUUGCAAGUGUAAAUCUGUUUGAUUACUCUCUUACUUUCCAAAAUAGGGAGGCUGGAGAAUUGGCUACAGUUGAAAAAGAACGGGUUGUCUUUUUUCAGUGUUUUGGGACUCUGUCUUGAAUUGUUUUGAAAAAUUGCUGUUUCACCUUUUGUGUUUGUGCUAGAAUGCUGAUAUAACAUGUAGCAGUAGAGAAGCCAAAGAGAGUAUCAAGGUGAUGUUCAAUAUUAGUCUUUUGCUUGAUCCAUAAAUCUGUUAAAACAAGUGAAAUCUUUUAUGAUUGAUGAAAGGGUGCAUUGCUGCAGUUUCACAUCAUACAAUUCGACUUGCCAGUUAUGGAUUCCGGCACUACAAAUCUAUUUGUUCAGUUAACUUCUAACAUCGUUUUCUUGCUAGUCCAGGCUGAUGAUGAUGAUGGCCUGAAAAAGAAGCAUCGGCCUUUCCUUACUCAGUUCUUCUCCCCUAUUUUACUGAAGGCCUUUUCCAUUACCUUCUUUGGGGAAUGGGGGGAUAAGAGUCAGGGAAGCACAUAUAUAUACAUUUAUUUCUUUUGUCAGUCAGCAUUAUAGUGCUUCUUUCUUUUUCAUUUAGCAACAAGUAGGAAAAUUUUGCAGCUUGCUACAAUAGGCUUGGCUGCUGAAGAGAAUCCUCUUGGUGGAAUCCUUGGACAAGCUUUGUGUACCAUGGCUGCUGUCUUCGGAGGGAAGAGUCUAGCAACUCAGAUAUCGGAGAAAAUAGUUGCACUCUCUGGAGGUAUUCUUUUCAUAAUUUUUGGUAUGCAAUCCUUCCUUUCCACGGUUGAGUCGUGACACUGCAACAUCGUAAGCUGUUGAAACUGAAGAUCUAACAUUCCUAAGGAAAAUAGACGGGAAAAUAGACGGGAAAUUAAUGCAUGUAUGAUGUAUCUGUUGUACCUCCAAUUUAUGUGAUCAACUACAGCAAUGUGGAUAUAGAAUGUAGUAUGCUGGUCAAAUUUCAUGUGGAUAGUUGCUGUGUUGUUUAUGGUGACGAAAAAAUAUAUACUGUCCUUUCUUAUUGUUA